CUACGGGCCGCAGCAGUGGGGAAUAUUGCACAAUGGAGGAAACUCUGAUGCAGCAACGCCGCGUGGAGGAUGACACUUUUCGGAGCGUAAACUCCUUUUAUAUAGGAAGAAGAUGACGGUACUAUAUGAAUAAGCGCCGGCUAACUCCGUGCCAGCAGCCGCGGUAAUACGGAGGGCGCAAGCGUUACUCGGAAUCACUGGGCGUAAAGAGCGUGUAGGCGGAUUAAAAAGUCAGAAGUGAAAUCCUAUAGCUUAACUAUAGAACUGCUUCUGAAACUCUUAAUCUAGAAUGUGGGAGAGGUAGAUGGAAUUUCUGGUGUAGGGGUAAAAUCCGUAGAGAUCAGAAGGAAUACCGAUUGCGAAGGCGAUCUACUAGAACAUUAUUGACGCUGAGACGCGAAAGCGUGGGGAGCAAGCAGGAUUAGAUACCCCCGUAGUC
rnacentral:rRNA from 1 species